CAUUGCUCAGAUUGAACGCUGGCGGCAUGCCUUACACAUGCAAGUCGAACGGCAGCACGGGAGCAAUCCUGGUGGCGAGUGGCGAACGGGUGAGUAAUAUAUCGGAACGUACCUUUCAGUGGGGGAUAACGUAGCGAAAGUUACGCUAAUACCGCAUAUUCUGUGAGCAGGAAAGCAGGGGAUCUUAGGACCUUGCGCUGAUUGAGCGGCCGAUAUCAGAUUAGCUAGUUGGUGAGGUAAAGGCUCACCAAGGCGACGAUCUGUAGCGGGUCUGAGAGGAUGAUCCGCCACACUGGAACUGAGACACGGUCCAGACUCCUACGGGAGGCAGCAGUGGGGAAUUUUGGACAAUGGGGGCAACCCUGAUCCAGCCAUGCCGCGUGAGUGAAGAAGGCCUUCGGGUUGUAAAGCUCUUUCAGCCGGGAAGAAAACGCAUGGGUUAAUACCCUGUGUGGAUGACGGUACCGGAAUAAGAAGCACCGGCUAACUACGUGCCAGCAGCCGCGGUAAUACGUAGGGUGCGAGCGUUAAUCGGAAUUACUGGGCGUAAAGCGUGCGCAGGCGGUUUUGUAAGACAGGCGUGAAAUCCCCGGGCUCAACCUGGGAACUGCGUUUGUGACUGCAAGGCUAGAGUAUGGCAGAGGGGGGUGGAAUUCCACGUGUAGCAGUGAAAUGCGUAGAGAUGUGGAGGAACACCGAUGGCGAAGGCAGCCCCCUGGGCCAAUACUGACGCUCAUGCACGAAAGCGUGGGUAGCAAACAGGAUUAGAUACCCUGGUAGUCCACGCCCUAAACGAUGUCAACUAGGUGUUGGGUGGGUAAAACCAUUUAGUACCGGAGCUAACGCGUGAAGUUGACCGCCUGGGGAGUACGGCCGCAAGGUUAAAACUCAAAGGAAUUGACGGGGACCCGCACAAGCGGUGGAUGAUGUGGAUUAAUUCGAUGCAACGCGAAAAACCUUACCUACCCUUGACAUGUCCAGAAGCCCUUAGAGAUUUGGGUGUGCCCGAAAGGGAGCUGGAACACAGGUGCUGCAUGGCUGUCGUCAGCUCGUGUCGUGAGAUGUUGGGUUAAGUCCCGCAACGAGCGCAACCCUUGUCGUUAAUUGCCAUCAUUUAGUUGGGCACUUUAACGAGACUGCCGGUGACAAACCGGAGGAAGGUGGGGAUGACGUCAAGUCCUCAUGGCCCUUAUGGGUAGGGCUUCACACGUCAUACAAUGGUCGGUACAAAGGGUCGCCAACCCGCGAGGGGGAGCCAAUCCCAGAAAGCCGAUCGUAGUCCGGAUCGUAGGCUGCAACUCGCCUGCGUGAAGUCGGAAUCGCUAGUAAUCGUGGAUCAGCAUGUCACGGUG
rnacentral:rRNA from 1 species